GUACACUCCUACGGGAGGCAGCAGUGGGGAAUUUUGGACAAUGGGCGAAAGCCUGAUCCAGCAAUGCCGCGUGUGUGAAGAAGGCCUUCGGGUUGUAAAGCACUUUUGUCCGGAAAGAAAUCCUUGGCUCUAAUACAGUCGGGGGAUGACGGUACCGGAAGAAUAAGCACCGGCUAACUACGUGCCAGCAGCCGCGGUAAUACGUAGGGUGCGAGCGUUAAUCGGAAUUACUGGGCGUAAAGCGUGCGCAGGCGGUUUGCUAAGACCGAUGUGAAAUCCCCGGGCUCAACCUGGGAACUGCAUUGGUGACUGGCAGGCUAGAGUAUGGCAGAGGGGGGUAGAAUUCCACGUGUAGCAGUGAAAUGCGUAGAGAUGUGGAGGAAUACCGAUGGCGAAGGCAGCCCCCUGGGCCAAUACUGACGCUCAUGCACGAAAGCGUGGGGAGCAAACAGGAUUAGAUACCCUAGUAGUCCCAUGAU
rnacentral:rRNA from 1 species